UGGGCGGUCCGCCGCCGGCGACGUCGCGAGAAGUCCACUGAACCUUAUCAUUUAGAGGAAGGAGAAGUCGUAACAAGGUUUCCGUAGGUGAACCUGCGGAAGGAUCAUUGUCGAAACCUGCGCCGCAGAACGACCCGCGAAUCCGUUCACACACCGCGGGCGGGGGCACCCGUGCCCUCGCCCGCCGGCCGCGGGGCGGACCCGUUCCCCCCGGGGCCGAGAAACAACGAACCCCGGCGCGGCACGCGCCAAGGAAAACCAACGAAAGGAGCACGCUCCCGUCGACCCGGACACGGUGCGCGCGGGACGCGUCGCCCCCUGAGAGAACCAAAACGACUCUCGGCAACGGAUAUCUCGGCUCUCGCAUCGAUGAAGAACGUAGCGAAAUGCGAUACUUGGUGUGAAUUGCAGAAUCCCGUGAACCAUCGAGUCUUUGAACGCAAGUUGCGCCCGAAGCCCUCGGGCCGAGGGCACGUCUGCCUGGGCGUCACGCAACGUCGCCCCUCCCCCAACGGGCUCGGGGGGCGGAAAAUGGUCUCCCGUCGGCCCCCGUCCGGCGGUUGGCCCAAACAGGAGCCCCCGACGACGGGCGUCGCGGCAUUCGGUGGUGGAAAGACCCUGUCGCGCUGCCGCGCCUCCGUCGCCACGGGAGGGACUCACGGACCCCCGACGGAACCCGACGCGACCCCAGGUCAGGCGGGANNACCCGCUGAG
rnacentral:rRNA from 1 species